CGGGGUGAGUAACACGUGAGCAACCUGCCUUUCAUGGGGGACAACAGUUGGAAACGACUGCUAAUACCGCAUAACGUGCCGGAAGGGCAUCCUUUUGGUACCAAAGAUUUAUCGCUGAAAGAUGGGCUCGCGUCUGAUUAGAUAGUUGGUGAGGUAACGGCCCACCAAGUCGACGAUCAGUAGCCGGACUGAGAGGUUGAUCGGCCACAUUGGGACUGAGACACGGCCCAGACUCCUACGGGAGGCAGCAG
rnacentral:rRNA from 1 species